rnacentral:misc_RNA from 1 species
GAUGAAGAACGUAGCGAAAUGCGAUAAGUAAUGCGAAUUGCAGAAUUCCAGUGAGUCAUCGAAUCUUUGAACGCACAUUGCGCCCCUUGGUAUUCCGAGGGGCAUGCCUGUUCGAGCGUCAUUAUAACCCCUCAAGCUCAGCUUGGUGUUGGGGCCUGCUGCACUGGCAGCCCUUAAAAUCAGUGGCGGCGCCAUCUGGCUCUAAGCGUAGUAAUUCUUCUCGCUAUGGAGUCCUGGUGGAUGCUUGCCAUCAACCCCCAAUUUUUCAAUGGUUGACCUCGGAUCAGGUAGGGAUACCCGCUGAACUUAAGCAUAUCAAUAAGCGGAGGA